UGAGAUGCUCUCUCUCUCAUUAGCACCUGACAUCCUGCUCCCACCACACCAGACCCAUUUCCCAUUGUUUUAGAGAUUUGGAAACUUUGUACAAAUUAUCCACGGCAAGAUAAAAAUAAACAAGCCUUUAUUUUAUUAAUAAUUUAGUUCCUGUUGUGCCCAAUAAAAGUAAAAAAAAAAAAAAAAAAAAAAAAUCAAACCCUUAGGAACAAACUACAAGAAAAACUAGCAAGUUUUUGGAGUGAACUUAACAUAAACAUUGUCUCUUGUUUUUUGAAGAGGGUUUUAGUUUCUGUUGUUUUCAAUUUUUCCGAUUUGCCCCUUUCAUUAUUUAGGUAUUUGUUUGGAAGAGUGCCCUGUAAAGGGGGUUCUUACUCGACUCUGGGCGGUGCAUUUGUGCACUUCUACCCUGGAUGGAUGGAUGGAUGGAAAGGGAGCAGGCUCACUCAUCCCUGGGUGGGUUAUGUGACAGUUACUUGGACUCAACCUGUUCUGUUCCCAGGCGGCCAUGCAGACAGUCUUCAGCUACUUCCUGUCUUUGUCACCUCUGCUCUAAGCAGACCCUGUAUUAGGGGCAGGCCUUUGGUUAGGCUGAUUGGGAAUACAGUUCAGUACAGAAUAAAGAUUUUUAAAAUGCAGUAAGGUGGUCAAUGCAUUGUAUGAUCAGUUUCUGUGUAGUCUGAGAAUUUUUGCAUGUUGGUUAGUUGUAGCAUUAUUUAAAGUUAAAACCAUACUUUUUAGAAAAAAAAUUUAUGGAGAGUGUUAAUUGACCACUUCAGGUAUAUGUUAGUACUGGGUAAACAUUUCUGACCUCCUCAGGCACACAACAUGUAGUGUCCUGAUAAGCACUUAGACUGAUGUGGCAAGCAGUUGCAAAGUAGCAAAUACACACAUUUCCUCUUCUCCUCCCCUUUAAUGAAAAGGCUGUGAAACCUUUAAAUCUUGUUUUUCUGAUGAGAUGGUAUUGAAGUGUAUACAACUUUUAAGUUUGCUGGAAUACUAAAAAGAAAAAACUU
rnacentral:lncRNA from 1 species